AAAAGAAAAAGGAAAAAAGAGAGAAAGAGAAAUGAGCUUAACAUCGACGGCAGCGUACGUUGCUCGGCGAGCGGCGCAGAAGGAGAAGGUUCGGAUUCUCUACCGCCGUGCCCUCAAAGACACUCUCAACUGGGCCGUACAUCGCCACCUCUUCUACGAAGACGUAUCCAUCUCUUCACUCUCAUUCAUUUAAUUCCCCAAUUUCAUUUUCAAUUUGAAUUCAUCUUUAAUCUGAUUCCUUUCUCUUUCUCUCCCUUUUCAGGCUUCAAAUCUCCGCGAUAGGUUCGAGCAAAACAAACACGUGGUGAGUUUCCCUCUUCUCGAGAUCAUCCAAUUUUGCACUUGCAUUCACCCUAAUUUGGUUCUACAAUUUCAUAAUUAAACCGCAUUUUUGGUACUGUGUUGUGAUUGGAAUGUUCCAUUUUCUAUAUAACAAAUCUGAUGUUGACCGUUGUAUUGGAUGUAUAAUGUACAGGAAGAUCCCGAUACCAUUGAUAGGUUGAUAGUGGAUGCUGAAGCUAGCUACAAUAAGUGGCGCCAUCCUGAUCCUUAUAUUGGUAAACAAAUCAUACACUCAAGAUUUGAUUUCUUUUAUUAUACCUAGUAGCUCACGAAUUUUAGGUAAUUAUACAUGGUUGAAAAAUCAUCUGAAUAUUAUGUUGUUAUAUUUAAUUGUAAGAUUUAUGAAAUGUAAUGUUGUUUCGCCUAGGUAGAUGGAUGUAGUUGUUCAAAAAUUGAGUUUUGCUAUUCAAAAAGGUUUAGCGGCGCAGCUUGUUGCCCGUCUACCUUUUGUUCAUAUGUAAUUAUUAUAAUUAUAAUAUAUAUAAUCUGAAACACAAAGCUUAGCUAAAUUGUAAGAUUUAUGAAAUGUUCACAGUAAUCAGUACCUUUGUUUGUCACUGUAACUCAACUAUUAAACUUCGAAAGAAAGUCAUUCGUAUGAAACAUUUCAUUCACNNNNNNNNNNNNNNNNNNNNNNNNNNNNNNNNNNNNNNNNNNNNNNNNNGUUUAUGUGGAUGACAGGGCUGAUUUUAGAAAGUCUGAGCCAACCACAUACAUUAAUGCACCAUUUGUUGGGGUUUUAGCAUAUUUUGCUGCUAAUUAAUCCCAUUAUUCCUUAAUUGGUCACUGGUAUAUGAUUAUUAUAUACAGAUCUAAGUAUGUUCUUUUGUAGAUAGAUAUAUAUAUAUAUAGGAAAGGUUAAUGUGUCUCUCAUCUUGAGAAAAGCAAGAAGGAAGAGGCUUCCUUGUGUUGGCUGGAUACCUAGGAAUUCUGCAGAAUUUGAAGUGUCACAAAAUAUGUGACUUUUUCCAUUUGAUGGAUGAAAAACAAGAACUUCUCGACUACUGUAAUGUUUUUUUUUUCUUUCUUGAAUUUGACAAGAAUUGAGUGAGAUUGUCAUAUUGUGGUUGUUUGUUAGUAAUUAUCUUGAAGUUAGCGAUGAAGCUUUUUGUUUUGAUUGUGCUUUGUAUGAUUAUUAUGAUAUAUGCCUACUUCUUUUCUACUACUGAAAAGUGAAAACCGAAAUACAUUAGUAGUACUUAUCUAUUAGUAUGAGCAAAAGUGACACUUGUGUAACAAAGGCAGUAGUAUCAAUUAAACUUAAUAAUAUAAUUUCUGGUGCAGUUGGAGAGUGAUUAAUUCAGCUACCACCCACAUCAUCACCACCAAUCUAUAUUAAUUGGUCUCAUGAACUCAGGCACCGUAUUGAUCCGUAUUUCUAGUUGUACUUAGAUAGGUUUGCCAUCGCACCGCAUGCCAAACUCAUUAAUUAUAUCACUUUUUUGUGAGAUUUUGAUAAAGGAUCUCUUAUGCUUCACAGGAACACCAAUGGGGCCUAAUUAGGUAAUUCAAUAAAUCAACUUAAUGGCUGUGGCCCUGUAGGCUUGCACUCAUGAAUUUUGUCACCGAACAGAACACAGUUCAUUUCUACUUCUGUCCCCUGUUUUUAUUAUUGCACAAGAGAAUGGGAUCCUCCACAAGGUACUUUGUACUUAAAACCUGUUAACUUAUUAACUUACUAUGAACACAAGUGAUAGAUAUUUAGAUCUCUUAAUUAUUUGUUCCAAUGUUUGAUUCUGAUCGGUGUAUAUGAAAAAAUAUAUUUCGGAAGUUGACAACAUCUUAAAUGAAUCACAUUUAUCUCAUGAAAUUAGUUGCAACAAUUGUACAUGAUACCUUUGUCUACAACCAAAAAAAAUACUUGAUUACAACAAUCAAAAUCAGCUGCAGUUGUGACUAAGUUUUUUUAAUACUUGAAAUGGACAUGUCUCUAUACACAAUUAAACUAAUCACGAAAGAGGAUUCUCUCAAGUUGAAUUUUUUUUUUUGAGGAAAUAAUGUGGGUUUUUAGACCAUUAGAUUAUAAAUAUAGGACAAUAUUUAAAUUUAAAAGAAAUGAACAAAAGGUGAUAGAUGGUUGAGAUGUGAAAAAUGAGAAAAAUUGAGAGGAAAUAAAUUGAGAGGAUUCAUUCUCACUAAUCACUUGCAUCAAGUAGCAUUAUGUAAAUGACGUUUUUACUCAAAAAAUUGUUAUAUUUCUAUUUACUAUGGCUUGAGUUCAAAUUUUAGGAUUAUUGGUUUAGAGAUUUGUAUCAUUUCAUUCAAUUAUCUUAAAUGAUUAUGAAUUGGUUUGUGAUAAAAUAAAAUUCAAAUUUACCAUAUUUAAGGUUUGGUUUUCUUCAGAUUAAUUUUUUCCCCACCAAAUCCACCCAAUGGGACUUAGUAUGAGCAUGAUGUGCCAACAUUUGGAGAGUAAGUACAUGAAUACUCUUCGGUGGUUCUCACAAUUUUUUUGUUGUUUAAAAAAGUGAAAGUUGAAGAAUUUAUAAAUGAAAUGACUCGUAAACCUAAUACCUUAAAGUAUAUAUAUGAUGUAAUUACUUUUGGUCCAUUUUUUCAAAAAAAAUUACUUUUGGUCCAAUGUUGAUGAUUCUCCCACAUUCUCAUAACCCAACACACACCAACCACAAUUUCAUUUAUAAAUUCUUCAACUUCUACUUUUUUAAGCAAUGCAAAAUUAUAACCCCACACUUGCUACACAACAAUCUCUCUUUCAAUUGUGAGUGAUUAAAGGAACUGUUCGAACCAACUUUGAUACCACUAUAGGGUCAUGAGCAAGAACAAUCAUACAAGUAAGUUUGACACCACAUAUUUACCAAAACUUUAAGUCAUUAAAAUAAUGAGUCGUCUAAUUUAAAAAAUGGUCAACCUCUAUUUUUCUAAACAACGUGAGAAUUCUAACCUCACACUUGUAACACAAAAAUUGUUGAUUGCUAGUCAUUUUCAACUACAAGACCUUCUACUUGGUACUGACAAAGAGAAGAACAAAGAAAACAAUUUUUUUCAUGUGAGAACACAAAUAAAUUCUUCCCACUCAACUAUAAUGACAUACAUAUUUCAAAAAGUGAAAAAGUAAUAUUGAAAUUCAACAGAGGAUUUCUUUUUUGACAAAAUUCAUAAGAGCACAUAUAUUAAUAAAGAUAAAGGGUAUAAAAUAGCCUCCACAAGUCGUAAGUACUGGUCCAAAUAUUAAGAAGCCCAAAAGCCCAAUGAUGAUGAUACGACGCCGUGUAGUAAAGUAGCUGGUUCCUCUCUCUCUCUCUGGUUGUUAUGAAAUGAUAGUCUGAAGUGAAGAAAAAAAAAAAGAAAAAGGAAAAAAGAGANNNNNNNNNNNNNNNNNNNNNNNNNNNNNNNNNNNNNNNNNNNNNNNNNNNNNNNNNNCGAGCGGCGCAGAAGGAGAAGGUUCGGAUUCUCUACCGCCGUGCCCUCAAAGACACUCUCAACUGGGCCGUACAUCGCCACCUCUUCUACGAAGACGUAUCCCUUUUCCCUUUCAUUCAUUCAUUCAUUCAUUCAUUUAAUUCCCCAAUUUCAUUUUCAAUUUGAAUUCAUCUUUUCUCUGAUUCCUUUCUCUUUCUCUCCCUUUUCAGGCUUCAAAUCUCCGC
rnacentral:lncRNA from 1 species